AAUGAAUAUUACGGGAGCUCGCAGACGGGCUGAGAGGAAACUAUGCGUUUCGACCGCACCUGAUUUGGAUAAUGCCAACGUAGGGAAGAUUUUAGACUGUGAUG
rnacentral:ncRNA from 2 species